UACGUAGGUGGCGAGCGUUGUCCGGAAUUACUGGGCGUAAAGGGCGAGUAGGCGGUAACACAAGUCAGAUGUGAAAGGCGAGGGCUCAACUCUCGGAUUGCAUUUGAAACUGUGUAACUUGAGUGCGGUAGAGGAAAGUGGAAUUCCCAGUGUAGCGGUGAAAUGCGUAGAUAUUGGGAGGAACACCAGUGGCGAAGGCGACUUUCUGGGCCGUAACUGACGCUGAGGCGCGAAAGCGUGGGGAGCGAACAGGAUUAGAUACCCGUGUAGUCCCU
rnacentral:rRNA from 1 species